rnacentral:rRNA from 1 species
CCUACGGGUGGCAGCAGUGGGGAAUAUUGGGCAAUGGGCGCAAGCCUGACCCAGCGAAGCCGCGUGAGGGAAGACGGUCUUCGGAUUGUAAACCUCUUUCUGCAGGGAAGACAAAAGGACGGUACCUGCAGAAGAAGCCACGGCUAACUACGUGCCAGCAGCCGCGGUAAUACGUAGGUGGCAGGCGUUAUCCGGAAUUACUGGGUGUACAGGGUGUGUAGGCGGGUUUGAAAGUCAGAUGUGAAAAUUAGGGGCACAACCCAUAACCUGCGUCUGACACUACAGAUCUUGAGAGUGGGAGAGGUAAACGGAAGUCCCGGUGUAGCGGUGAAAUGCGGAGAUAACGAGAGGAACCAGUGGCGAAGGCGGUUGACGGGACCACAACUGACGCUGAGACACGAAAGCGUGGGGAGCAAACAGGAUUAGAUACCCGAGUAGUC